UGGUUCUUUUAUCUCCGCGUCUUCCUAUCCUAAUCGAGUCGUCCGCUCGUAGCCUCGUACUUCCGGUCUACGUGAUCUCAUCAUCACGCAAAGAUGGAGAGCUCGAUGUUCCGUCUCCACACCGCGGCGCGCCAGUGCACGCCCACGAUGCCUCCCUGGUGCCUCGCCUCGGCUUUGCUUGGCCUGCGACGCCAUGCCCGGACGACACCUCUGCAUCGGCUUCGCCCGGCCACGGCCAUCCACACUCACCCGCGUCGUCGCAGUGCCACCAAGAAACUUGACGAUGCACGGCAACAAACCAAGAAUUCAGAGGGUCGCAGGUGUCAAGCUAUACACGGGACAAACGGUGGAGUUGAUUCCUUGGUGAUGAACUCCUCUGUUGGCGGCAAUGUUCCCGUCAGCAAGGUCGCUUUACCUUGAAUCAGUUCACAUAUUCGGAUUGAGCAAUUGAAGAGUGCAGAAUGGGUGAAGCAGAAGCUUAAUUAAGUUCAUGAAUGGUAUCCCAGAUUACCCCCUUCACAGUCAGAGCCCUUGCAACAUAACCUAUGAUUUCACAUAGUUGGAGAGCAUGAAUGCAUAAGCGGAGCAGUACCCAUGGUAACAUGUCAAACUUCAAGCUAA